AGGGAAGUAAAGAAUGAGAAGACAAGAAAUGUAGGAAAUAACCAAGUUCAAAGCAAGAUGACUUUAUAUUUAUUCCUUUGGGGGAGUUCUGCAGAAGAUUUGGCAGAGAUGUUUCCAGGAAGUCUGACUGGAUGCAUUUGAAAGCAGUUUUGCUUGUGAGGUGGUUGCUGUUAGUAUCUUCAUUUUGAAGAUGAGAAAACGGAGCCUGAAGGACUUUAGUCUGUUUGAGAUUACACAGGUGCAUCAAAUUUUUCCAUCAAAUAGGAUUGGCCACCUUGGGCUGGACAAUCUACAUAGAUGAGGUGCCAAAGCAAUACUGCUAAUGGGAACUAGAGUGUACAGAAAAUGACUGAAGAAAUUUCAGAAAUAUUUCACUCUCCAAGUACUCAGGGAUUGAUUCCUCAGUUGCUGAUUUUCUUUGUGUACUCUUCAUUUCCCGCGUGCUCAAUCUUCCUUCAUUGUCCAUUGGCCAACAGCAAGUUUCCGAAACUUUAAACUAAUCAAUUCUGCACACGUUUAUUAAACACCUACGAAAUUCAGUACAUGGUACUAGAUAUUGGAAGUAAUGUUGUUGUUUGUCCUUUGUUUUCAAAGAGGACUGGUGACAUCAUCCCUGGGUAAUUUCUUGACUUGUACUUGAGUUGGAUUUCAGCAUGCAGAUUUCCACAAAGUCAUCAGCCUCACUCUCUGCCAGUCAUCCAAGUCUAACUACAAGACAAAAGUCAGAAAGAUUGGCUGGUGAUGGCCCUGAAUGCAGUGGAUGAUGUGGGUAUCUUCAGGCUUUGUCCAAGCUCUAAAAUUUUUCUCAUCUGCCCAUUCCACUGAGGGAAGCCUUCAUGUGCUUGGGCUUGCAAUCCUCCCUAAUUCACCGAUGGGUAGGAGGUCUUUUGGUUACCACCAACCUGGGUUAAGUUGUCUGCUGAGGUGCUUUUACUGGAGUAUGGCUGCUGUGCAUGCUGUAGCUUAUUGGAACCCCAAGUGAAAGUUUGUCGAAAGCUAGACAUCAAAGGUGGAUGAGCAGCCAUGAAAAGGACUCAUCAAGCCCUAAUACCAAAGAUGAUAGCUUUCUCUCAACACUUCAUACAGCCCAUACAGAAAGACUAGGUAAAAGAUAAAUUAUAUAAUUAGAAUAUAGAUCAAUAUAAUUCAAAUUAGACUGUUAAAAUGCCCAUGGAGAGGCAAAGUAGUGUAGGUGAUGGAGAAUUGGCCUUGGAAUCAGUUAAACCUGGAUUCAAGUCCCUGGUUUGACAUUUUUUAUCUAUGUGACUUUGGGUAAAUCAGUGAAACUUGCAGUGCCCCAGAAACUCUCUACAUUAUAAACUACAAAGAUGCUGAUCUGCACUAGUAGAUAUGUUUCUCCAUUACAAGAUUUGCAUGAAAAGAAAUCACUGAUUCUAACUAAAAAAAGGACAAAAUAAAAUCAUGUAUGUAUAAUACAGGAGUGCUAAGUGCUAUGACAUCAGAGACUGAAGAAAUUAAAUUUAUUUUUGAGAAUCAAAGAAGCUUUGAAAUUCAUUUUAAUCAAAUGGAGUAUUUGAGUACCUACAAAUUGCUUUAAAAUAAUCUAGGCUUUCAGAUAGUUUAGAUUAGACAUAGUUACUGCCUCUGCUUAUAGAACAGGAAGGGGAUAUUGCAAAGAUACAGAUUAUUAUUAUACAAUUAUAUACGAUUAUAUACAGAUAUUAUACAAUUUAAAAAAUCAGCAUAAAAGAGGGGCAAAAUCUAAGAGAGUAAAACUCAUAGUUGACUGAGGAAAUCACAGAACCUCAGAGUUGGACAGAAUAGGACUUCAAAGUCUUCUGAUCAGGAGUGUGGUGGUAAUUGCUUUUCAAUUUUUUUUUAAAGUUAAUGUGUAGUAAUGUAGUAAUGUUAGUCUAAACAAUCAACAAAACAAAUGAAGCUCAAGCUUAUAACAUUUGCUGAUAUUCAAGGUGUAAAUGUUCAUAUGGAGAUGUCAGAACCAGCUCUCUGAGAUGCCAUGAGCUUCACUUUAUCACAUUCCUUCUAUUCUAUCUCAAUGGGAGCAGGAAUCCUUUCUUCAAUAUCUCUAACAAGUAGAAAUACAUCUUGCGCAAGUAAGGGACACGUUGCCUAGAGUGUUGAACCUGGAGUCAGGAAGAUCUGAGUUCACCUCUGGCCUCAGACUCUUGCUAGCUGGAUAACUCCAGACUUAACCAAUUUGCCUCAGUUUCCUCAACUUUAAAAUGGGGAUGAUAAUAGUACAUAGCACAAAUUAGAUGGUUAACACAUACUUAUUUUCUUCCUUCUACCAUUUGUUUGUAAACUUCCAAUCAAGGAGAAUUCACUGCAACCCAAAGCAGCACCUUUUACAUUUGAGUAUUGGAUUCUUUAUAUCUUCCAUCCUUUGAUCCUGAUUCUACACUCUGGCACCAAGCAGAAGAAAUAUAUCCCCCUAUCCCUGUUAUAGUCCUUCAAAUAUUUGUAGCUGUUGUAUUCCUUACUCCUUUUCCCAACUUCUUUUAAGUUAAACAUCUCAAAUCUCUAUAAACUAGUUUUCAUUAUGACUUCAAGUUAAAGUUUUCACUGUCUUACUUAGAUUAUUCUGGUUGUUUUCCAACUUAGCAAAGUAUUUCCUAAAAUUUGACUCCCAGAACUAAAGAGGAUAUUUAAAAUGUGGUUUGAUCAGGGAAAAGUACAGUGUUACUCCUGUUAUAAUUGGGGAGGGAAAUGUUCAUUUCUUAAUAUGUUAUUUAUUAUUAAUUUGUAAUAUUCAUGUAAAGAAAAUGAAAUGAUGGAAGACAAUCAGAGGCUCCAGGUUACUGCAUCACUUUGUCAAUUCUCUUCUCCAAUCUUUGGUAACUGGUUUUUAUGGAGACCAGGGCUAAAUCAGGGGCAAAUGGCAGGUUGAGUAUUCACAGACCUUGAAAUCUUAAGGAAAUAUGAAAAAAGAUAGAAAUAGUUGUGAGGAAAAUUAGGUGGGUCAAUUAGAGUAGAAUGGAAGGAUGACUGGGUGGCAGAGAAGAAGAGACAGAAAAGUUUUACAAAUUAAAUUGUGGGAAUUUAGCUUGAUUUUUUUUGUUUUUACUUUUUCUAGUGAUGUUAAGCAUUCUUAGAGUAGCAAAGAGGGAAAUUAUUGUUUAGAAAAAGCCAUAAAUAGGAACAAAUUCAAUUGAAUAGGAAGAAAUAGUGUCUAAGGUGAAUUCAUGUUCAUUUAUGGUUGAGAUAAACUGAAGAUAAAAGUCAUGGGACCUCAGAUUAUUGAAGAGUGGGAAGGUUCUUGGUGCUUUCAAAGGGUUAGGGGUAGAGAUAAGAUUGGAAGAAAGUUAUUAAUUUGAUUAUGGAGAAAAGAAAAACUAGAAGUUCAUAAAUGAUAGUAACAAAGACUGGGACAAGCUCAUGUUGACAUGACUUGGGGAGAGGUAUUUGCUGAAUGAUAGUAUAGAAUAUCCAAAAAAGGGAAUGGAGGGACAAGGCAUCUACCAACUCUCUCUCAAGUUCUAAGUUCCAGGGAUUGUGUCAUAAGCCAACCCUGACUUGGGCUAGGUUAGUACUUCAUUUUCAAAGUUAGAAUAAAAGAAGCCAUUGGAUAAUUAAACAAUUAACAAAAGGAAAUUUCCUUGGCAAUAGCAUAGAAAGGAUAUACAGCAAGAAUACAAUACUAUUUCCUGAAGACUUAGCCCUUCAUACAGAAAUGUGUCUCCACACAGAAAUGCAGUUCAGUCUUUUCCCCUCUCUUUAAUCCCUUUGGGAUAUAGACUUAGUAGUGGUGAUGCUGGAUCAAAGGGUAUGAACAAUUUGAUGGUCCUUUGGACAUGAUUCCAGAUUGCUCUCCAGAAGAGUUACAUGAGUUUACAGUUCCUCCAACAAUGUAUUAGUAUCUUGAUUAUUUCAUAUCUCUUCCAACAUUUAUCAAUUCUCAUUUUUAUCAUGUUAGCCAGUCUGAUGGGUGUGAGGUAUACCUCAAAGUCAUUUUAAUUUGUUUUUCUCUAAUCAGUAGUGAUUUGGAGCAUUUUUUCAUGUGAAUAAAGAUAGUUUUAAUUUCUUCAUCUGAGAAUUGCCUGUUCAUAUUCUUGGACCAUUUGUCAAUUAGGAAGUGCUUUAUAGUCUUAGGUAUUUUACUCAGUUUUCUAUAUAUUUAAGAAAUUAAGACCUUGUCCGAGAUAUUUGCUUUAAUUUUUUUUUUCUUACCCCAGGUUGAUGUUAGAUUUCUAUACCUAACUAGGUAUGAAUGUUAUUCCCACUUUGUGCCAAUUCCAAUGAGAAUGGGGUCUAAGUAUUGCCUGCCAACCUCACCUCUCUGUCCUAAUAUUGCUUCACACUGUAUUGAAUCUUACAUGCCUUCUUAGGUGAGAUAAUUUACCCCACCUUUCUCUUCUUUUUAUCAUUUCCUAAGAUAGUCCUCCUUCUUUUUUCCUAGAUUUUUUCAAAUAUCAUCCCAUCAAAUUCAAAUUACUCUUUGCAAAGAUUGGAUUUAGAUAUCUCCUGAUUGUAACAAUGAAGAUACUCAGCUCUUUC